UGGGAGGGGGAUAUACGUCAUAACGUAAGAUCGCGCCAUACUGGCAGUGGCCAGAGUAGAGAGCCUUGAUAAAGUAUGGAACGUUUUCAGGAUAUUCAGCUUUCACUAAAGCGAAUUUUAGUUGAUGUGUCAAUGAAGAACAAAAGCUGGAAUGUGAAUAGAAGAAGGGGUCGUACGGGGUCUGUAAAAAUACUCAAGUGGUGCUCGCUGCAUAUCAGAUCAAGCAUUGGAAUAAGAUUUUUAUCGGGGGAGAACAACCAACAGAAAGACCCAUUCACCAACUACAUGGCGCACUGAAAGGGGAGAUUCAUGUCACCUUCACCAGUCCUUUCUUUAAUUGCUGGAAACUGUUAAGGGAAAGACCCUCAGACAUAAUAGGAUAAAUGUGGCUGCAGGUAAAAUUAUUUGAUGGUGUUAAGGUUUAUCAUUAUCUAACAAACCAAAUGCUUUGUUCAAUAACAAGAAAUCACGUUAGGGCCAUUUUCUGGAAGAGAAAUCCACUUGGACAGUUUGACAAGGAUCAAGAGGCCAAGGACCAGGUGGUGAAGUCGGAACCAGACCAGACAGCUCUCGCACAGCCAGCCUCUGAACCUGCUCUACAGUUUGAAUCGCCCGGGUGAAGUUAAACUCUACUUUGCUGGUGACCCAGAUGGCUGAGAACAUGAUAGGCUGAAACCCUGGAAGCUAAGAGGGAAGCGGCAAAGGAGUUCGAAGAAGAGCUGAAAAGCACGUCUUAAUGAACACAAGGACAAGGCCUGGUGAAAGCCACUACAGAGGAUCAUAGCCAUCGUUGGAGUUCUGAAAGGACGUGGGUGAAUAUCAAUCUGCCAAAUGAACUUUUUUUAGCAUGCACAUUCACAUCUUUAUAUUAAUACUGAUUAUAUAUGAACUUGUUUGUUUGUUACUGGAAAGAACUUAGCUUCUAUUGUGUUUGACAGAAGGAGUUUUAAGCCUAUGUGCAUUUUCUAGAUGUUAAGCAUGAACAGUACUUAAACAACCAUUACCCGUACCAGCUCUGUCCGUGCUCCAUUUUCCAUUGCAGAUCAUACUCAGAGAUAGUACCCCUUAAAUGCAGCUGGUCGUCAUAGCAAGGCCACACACAACUGCCGCGGCGUAAUGUUCAAUGCGAGACACACACCAGCGCCCAAAUUUAAUUUAAAACGUUUCAGCAUUACUCGGAUUGUACUUAAUUUAACUAAAACAAAUAUCAUAAACAUGUCUAAUUAAUACUUUAUCAACACGUCAUACUCCUGGAAAAGACCCACAUAAAUCACAUAUUUUAAAGGAAUAGUCUACUCAUUUUCAAUAUUAUUUCAUAUUUUCAUAUUUCAACAUAUAUCAAUAAUAUGUUAUUACCUUAACUAAGAAUUGUUGAUACAUCCCUCUAUCAUCUGUGUGCGUGCACGUAAGCGCUGGAGCGCGCUGCGACGCUUCGAUAGCAUUUAGCUUUGAGUUCACUCAAAAACUCAAAAGUCGAUUUAAAAUUGCAGUUUAAAAAAACUUGCAUGCAUUGAAGACCCGUCACCCCUAGGAACAACAUGAAACGAUUGAAUAUAUCUUCAUAUGAUAUAUCAGGACACUUCUUAAUUUCAUCCUCACACUGGCUCAUACAUGGCUGGUGUAGUAAAUAUUUACCAUAACUGUUUUAAUCAUGUUUUAUGCGUGCUCCCACCACACUGUUUUCUACUGGCUGGCCAUUAAAACUGAGCUCCCGCACAAAGAAGGGAAAUACGUCACAUCUCUUACUCCCGCGUUUGAAAAUAAUGUGGAUAACAACAUUAUUCUGUUUGAGGUGUAACAAGCUGUGUUCCCACAUGUUUAAAGGCUCUCUAAGCGAAUCUGCGAGACGUUAGUUAUUGUUGACGUUUGAAACUGUUUUCAAACAGACGGAGCGUAGCUAACUCCUCCCCCUCCCUUCCGUGCUUUCAUGAACGCGCCCAACCCCCACCCCCAAAUCCUUUGUCGUUUAUUGGCUGGAAUACUUUGUUUUGUUUUGUGAUGCUAGGUUUGGCCACUUGUUGAUAUUGCCGUUUGUGAAGUCUAGGCUGUCUACAGAGAUCGCGUUUUUUUACAGUUUGAUCAACGGACAGGCAGCAAGCAGAUAGUGAGGAGAUGUUUCCGGUAUGUAACAAAAAAUGUUUUAUGGUCUAAAACGCUUCAAUUCCCUUAGAGUGCCUUUGUUUUGCCGCUUAUGACCGUAAUCAUCAUGGAAAACGUUGGUUUACUGAUACUACACGCCAGAAGUCGCACCCAUAAUUCGCGCAAAUCGUCAUGGGGUGUAGGAAUAGUGUGCAUAGGGCCCAAAAUUAUUAACAAGAGGGUAACAUUCUUCAUAGAGCCAUAGCUUAUUUAUUUUGCUUUUAAAGUGCACCAAAUGAAUGCACUUAACAUUAAAAUGAACACUUUUCUUUUGAGUGGAAAUGUACAUCUCAAAUGGGGAUCUGCAGUGAAUGGAAAGGACAUUGCUGUAAAAUAUCAGAAAUAUGUAUGUAUGUAUGUAUGUAUGUAUGUAUGUAUGUAUGUAUGUAUUUAGUGAAAAAGUUGUUGAUGCAAAUGCACUUAACAUAGACCUUCUGUUUGUUUUUUGUACAUUUAAAACACAAUAUACUAAUACAGAAUGUGUGGACAUAAACUGGAAUGUUGGUUGCAAUUACUGUCAAAUAAUGUUUAUAUUAAGUAAAUCCCAUGUACUAUUAAGAAAAGUCUGUAGAUAUAUUGGAGUUGCUUGUUAUUACUGUCAAAUUAUAUUCAUAUAAGGUUAGUCCCAUGCACUUAUAAGAAAGGUCUGUAUAUAUCGGAGUUGCUUAUAACAGUGGUUCUCAAACUGGGGUCCGGGGCCCCCAGGGGGGCCGCGAGAUGGUGCCAGGGGGGCCCCAGUUUUAUGACAUUUUAUAAAAUACAUUAAAUUCUAAUGAAUUCUGGGAAAUUAAACCAAAAAAAGGUAGCACUACUUUGUAUAAUUUAAUGUUUUGUUUAAUUAAAACGUGAAGUUUUAGAACAGUUUUUUGUCAUAAAUUUUCUUUGGGGGGGGCGCCAAGGAAUGCACCGUACACAAAGGGGGGCCGCACGCUGAAAAAGUUUGAGAACCACUGGCUUAUA